GAUGAACGCUGGCGGCGUGCUUAACACAUGCAAGUCGAACGAGAAGUGGAGACGGAAACCUUCGGGCGGAAGACUUUAUUUCGAGUGGCGGACGGGUGAGUAACGCGUGGGUAACCUGCCUCAUACAGGGGGAUAACAGUUGGAAACGACUGUUAAUACCGCAUAAGACCACAGCACCGCAUGGUGCGGGGGUAAAAACUCCGGUGGUAUGAGAUGGACCCGCGUUCGAUUAGCCAGUUGGCGGGGUAACGGCCCACCAAAGCGACGAUCGAUAGCCGAUCUGAGAGGAUGACCGGCCACAUUGGGACUGAGACGCGGCCCAAACUCCUACGGGAGGCAGCAGUGGGGAAUAUUGCACAAUGGGGGAAACCCUGAUGCAGCGACGCCGCGUGAGUGAAGAAGUAUUUCGGUAUGUAAAGCUCUAUCAGCAGGGAAGAAAAUGACGGUACCUGAGUAAGAAGCCCCGGCUAACUACGUG
rnacentral:rRNA from 1 species